rnacentral:lncRNA from 1 species
GAAAAGUCAAUAUUUGGUCACCUUGUAGACCAGGGGUGCCCAAACUCGGUCCUGGAGGGCCGGUGUCCUGCAGAGUUUAGCUCCAACCCUAAUCAAACACACCUGAACCAGCUAAUCAAGCUCUUAUAGGCAUACUAGAAACUUCCUGGCAGGUGUGUUGAGGCAAGUUGGAGCAAAACUCUACAGGACACCGGCCCUCCAGGACCGAGUUUGGACACCGCUGUUGUAGACUACAAUAAACCUUUUGUACUCUCUUUAUAGGACCUUAUAUGUAGUCAACAAUGCUCCUGACUUCGCAGUCCUCUCGAUUCACGCCUGGCUUCACAUAAAAUUGCGGAAGACGGAACAAACAAACAAGGCCUGGAGUCCCACUGUGAAUGGCACUGAUUUCAUAUGCUGUAGAUUUGUUGUAGUUGUUUAAGCCCCGAACUCUAGCUGCAGAUGGUGAGUCUGAGUCUUAAUGGAGCAGCUCUUGAACCUUGAUCCCUUCUCCUCCCCUUGUCCCUUAAAAGCCUCUUCUCAAUACCCCUGCAGGCUGUAAGGAAUCUCAACAUCUGUCAGCAAUGCACACUCCCCUUAUGUUCCCAUGAGAUGUGAAUCAAUAUAAAGCACUCUGUGAAAUACAUCUCUGUUCAUUUGUUUAGGUAAUAAUUUAUUUUAUGUCUUAGAUUGAUCCAUGUGCAUUAAUUAAUUUGUCUGUAAGUUGUUUAGUUAAAUUAGUGCUAUACAUACAGAAUAUAGAUAUUUUUUCCCAAUAUAAUCACAUUUCAGAUCAGUAUGGAAUCUAAUUAUAAUCUAAUGCUGUAAUGUAAACAUACAUUAAUAAAGAAUUAAAGGUACACUCCCCCCAAAAAUUAAAAUUGUCAUCAUUUACAACCUC